rnacentral:tRNA from 1 species
CCCCGAAUAGCUCAGCUGGAAGAGCGUUCGACUGUAAAUCGAAAGGUCACUUGUUCGAUCCAGGUUUCGGGGN